GCCUGGGUGGCUCAGUCAGUUGAGCAUCCGACUUCAGCUCAGGUCAUGAUCUCACGGUUUGUGGGUUCGAGCCCCGCGUCAGGCU
rnacentral:tRNA from 1 species